rnacentral:rRNA from 1 species
GGGGUGCUCGAGUGGCGAACGGGUGAGUAACACGUGAGUAACCUGCCCUUGACUUAGGGAUAACUUAGGGAAACUGGGGCUAAUACCGGAUAGGAGCUCCUGCUGCAUGGUGGGGGUUGGAAAGUUUCGGCGGUUGGGGAUGGACUCGCGGCUUAUCAGCUUGUUGGUGGGGUAGUGGCUUACCAAGGCUUUGACGGGUAGCCGGCCUGAGAGGGUGACCGGCCACAUUGGGACUGAGAUACGGCCCAG